CACCGCGGUUAUACGGGCCACCAAGAAAAUAAACUCGGCACAAAGGGUGGUUAAAGACUAACUAUCAAAUGAAGUCAAACACUAGCAUAAGUAGUGAAAAGCUGGUUUAGCAUGAAGCCCAUUAUACAAACAACUCCAUUCACUUGACCCCACGAAAACUAAAGAA
rnacentral:rRNA from 1 species